GUUGUAUGGUUAAGUGACUAAGCGUACAUGGUGGAUGCCUUGGCAGUCAGAGGCGAUGAAGGACGUACUAACCUGCGAUAAGCUGUGAGAAGUCGGUAAGAGACGCUAUUACUCACAGAUUUCCGAAUGGGGAAACCCACCCGAGAUAACUCGGGUAUCUGUUACUGAAUACAUAGGUAACAGAGGCGAACCGGGAGAACUGAAACAUCUAAGUACCCCGAGGAAAAGAAAUCAACCGAGAUUCCCUCAGUAGCGGCGAGCGAACGGGGAUUAGCCCUUAAGCAUCUUGGAAGUUAGUGGAACGGUCCUGGAAAGGCCGGCGAUACAGGGUGAUAGCCCCGUACACGAAAACAACCUUGAUGUGAAAUCGAGUAGGGCGGGACACGUGACAUCCUGUCUGAAUAUGGGGGGACCAUCCUCCAAGGCUAAAUACUCCUGACUGACCGAUAGUGAACCAGUACCGUGAGGGAAAGGCGAAAAGAACCCCUGUGAGGGGAGUGAAAUAGAACCUGAAACCGUGUACGUACAAGCAGUGGGAGCCCUUCGGGGUGACUGCGUACCUUUUGUAUAAUGGGUCAGCGACUUACAUUUUGUAGCGAGGUUAACCGUAUAGGGGAGCCGUAGGGAAACCGAGUCUUAACUGGGCGUCUAGUUGCAAGGUGUAGACCCGAAACCGGGUGAUCUAGCCAUGGGCAGGUUGAAGGUUGAGUAACAUCAACUGGAGGACCGAACCCACUAACGUUGCAAAGUUAGGGGAUGACCUGUGGCUGGGGGUGAAAGGCCAAUCAAACUCGGAGAUAGCUGGUUCUCCCCGAAAGCUAUUUAGGUAGCGCCUCGGACGAAUACUACUGGGGGUAGAGCACUGUUUGGGCUAGGGGGUCAUCCCGACUUACCAACCCCAUGCAAACUCCGAAUACCAGUAAGUAAUAUCCGGGAGACACACGGCGGGUGCUAACGUCCGUCGUGAAGAGGGAAACAACCCAGACCGCCGGCUAAGGUCCCAAAGUUCUGGUUAAGUGGGAAACGAUGUGGGAAGGCUCAGACAGCUAGGAUGUUGGCUUAGAAGCAGCCAUCAUUUAAAGAAAGCGUAAUAGCUCACUAGUCGAGUCGGCCUGCGCGGAAGAUGUAACGGGGCUCAAACCAGGCACCGAAGCCGCGGAUUCACACUUAUGUGUGAGUGGUAGGGGAGCGUUCUGUAAGUCUGCGAAGGUGUAUCGAGAGGUAUGCUGGAGAUAUCAGAAGUGCGAAUGCUGACGUAAGUAACGAUAAAGGGGGUGAAAAGCCUCCUCGCCGGAAGACCAAGGGUUCCUGUCCAACGUUAAUCGGGGCAGGGUGAGUCGACCCCUAAGGCGAGGCCGAAAGGCGUAGUCGAUGGGAAGCAGGUUAAUAUUCCUGCACGACUUGUAAUUGCGAUGGGGGGACGGAGAAGGCUAGGUGGGCCAGGCGACGGUUGUCCUGGUGAAAGUGCGUAGGUGGUGUUUCCAGGCAAAUCCGGAGACACAACACUGAGACACGAGACGAACACACUACGGUGUGGAAGCCAUUGAUGCCCUGCUUCCAGGAAAAGCCUCUAAGCUUCAGAUUACAAGUCAUCGUACCCCAAACCGACACAGGUGGUCGGGUAGAGAAUACCAAGGCGCUUGAGAGAACUCGGGUGAAGGAACUAGGCAAAAUAGAACCGUAACUUCGGGAGAAGGUUCGCUCCUGACAGUGAAGUCCCUUGCGGAUGGAGCAGUUGGGAGUCGCAGUGACCAGAUGGCUGGGACUGUUUAUCAAAAACACAGCACUCUGCAAACACGAAAGUGGACGUAUAGGGUGUGACACCUGCCCGGUGCCGGAAGGUUAAUUGUGGGGUUAGCGCAAGCGAAGCUCUUGAUCGAAGCCCCGGUAAACGGCGGCCGUAACUAUAACGGUCCUAAGGUAGCGAAAUUCCUUGUCGGGUAAGUUCCGACCUGCACGAAUGGUGUAACCAUGGCCAUGCUGUCUCCACCCGAGACUCAGUGAAAUCGAAUUCGCCGUGAAGAUGCGGUGUACCCGCGGCUAGACGGAAAGACCCCGUGAACCUUUACUACAGCUUGGCACUGAACAUUGAACCUACAUGUGUAGGAUAGGUGGGAGGCUUU
rnacentral:rRNA from 1 species